UAGUAACACGUAGUUAAUCUGCCCUUAGGUGAAGGAUAAGCACGGGAAACUGUGUCUAAUACUUCAUAGGAGUUUAGUGCUGGAAUGCUUUUACUCUGAAACAUUAGGCCUAAGGAUGAGACUGCGGCUGAUUAGCUUGUUGGUGGGGUAACUGCCUACCAAGGCGAUGAUCAGUAGGGGCUCUUAGCGGAGUAGCCCCAAGAAGGAAUCUGAGACACUAUUCCUAGCUCUACGGAGUGCAGCAGCUGCGAAUUUUUUACAAUGCACGCAAGUGUGAUAAAGCGAGCCAAAGUGCUAUCUGUUUUACAGUUAGCUUUUCUUCAGUUUAAAACGCUGGAGGAAUCAGGACUGGGAAAGAUCGGUGCCAGCCGCCGCGGUAAUACCGACAGUUCAAGUUGCAUCCACUUUAAUAGGGUCUAAAACAUCCGUAGCUAGUUAGUUAAGUCUCUUGUGAAAUCCCAUGUCUCAAGCAUGGGGCUUGCAGGAGAUACUGGCUAGCUAGAGACCGGUAGGCGUACGGAGUACGGGCAACGUAGUGGUAAAAUACGUUAAUCUUGCUUGGACUAACGAAUUAGCGCAAGCACCUUACGAAGACCG
rnacentral:rRNA from 1 species